AAGUCGUAACAAGGUUUCCGUAGGUGAACCUGCGGAAGGAUCAUUAUUGAGCCUUAGUGCUCUUAAUUUAAAAAGUGGUUGUUUAGCUGCUUAAUUUAAAAAUAGCUGUUUAGCUAUAUUUUUACUCUGUGAAAACAUUAUACCAUUUGACUACUAGUGUAACAGCUUUUUUUACUUUAUUAAAUUAAAUAAAACAACUGUUAGCAACGGAUCACUUGGUUCUCACAUC
rnacentral:misc_RNA from 1 species